UACGGAGGGUGCAAGCGUUGUUCGGAAUUAUUGGGCGUAAAGAGCGUGUAGGCGGUUUGGUAAGUCAGAUGUGAAACCCCUGGGCUCAACCCAGGAAGUGCAUUUGAAACUGCCAUGCUCGAGUAUGGGAGAGGAGAGUGGAAUUCCCAGUGUAGAGGUGAAAUUCGUAGAUAUUGGGAGGAACACCCGUGGCGAAGGCGACUCUCUGGACCAAUACUGACGCUGAGAAGCGAAAGCGUGGGGAGCAAACAGG
rnacentral:rRNA from 1 species